rnacentral:rRNA from 1 species
UACAGAGGGGGCAAGCGUUGUUCGGAAUUACUGGGCGUAAAGGGCGCGUAGGCGGCCAACUAAGUCGAACGUGAAAUCCCCGGGCUCAACCCGGGAACUGCGUCCGAUACUGGUUGGCUUGAAUCCGGGAGAGGGAUGCGGAAUUCCAGGUGUAGCGGUGAAAUGCGUAGAGAUCAUGAGGAAGACCAGUGGCGAAGGCGGGUCUCUGGGCCGAAACUGACGCUGAGGAGCGAAAGCGUGGGGAGCAAACAGG